rnacentral:rRNA from 1 species
UACGGAGGGAGCUAGCGUUAUUCGGAAUUACUGGGCGUAAAGCGCACGUAGGCGGCUUUGUAAGUUAGAGGUGAAAGCCUGAAGCUCAACUUCAGAAUUGCCUUUAAGACUGCAUCGCUUGAAUCCAGGAGAGGUGAGUGGAAUUCCGAGUGUAGAGGUGAAAUUCGUAGAUAUUCGGAAGAACACCAGUGGCGAAGGCGACUUACUGGACACAUAUUGACGCUGAGGUGCGAAAGCGUGGGGAGCAAACAGG